rnacentral:rRNA from 1 species
CUUGGUCAUUUAGAGGAAGUAAAAGUCGUAACAAGGUUUCCGUAGGUGAGCCUGCGGAAGGAUCAUUAUUGAAUGAACUUGGUGUGGUUGUCGCUGGCCCUCUUGGGGGCAUGUGCACACCUACCAUCCUCAUCUCUCCACCUGUGCACCUCUUGUAGAUUUGGAAUUGAUUAUCCGAGGCAACUCGGUCGUGAGGACUGCUAGCACUUAGCUGGCUUUCUUUGCAAUUCCAGGUCUAUGUUUUUCAUAUACCCCAUUGUAUGUAACAGAAUGUAUCAUUGGGCCCUUGUGCCUAUAAACCUUAUACAACUUUCAGCAACGGAUCUCUUGGCUCUCGCAUCGAUGAAGAACGCAGCGAAAUGCGAUAAGUAAUGUGAAUUGCAGAAUUCAGUGAAUCAUCGAAUCUUUGAACGCACCUUGCGCUCCUUGGUAUUCCGAGGAGCAUGCCUGUUUGAGUGUCAUUAAAUUCUCAACCAAUAUCAACUUUUGCUGAUAAUGGCUUGGAUGUGGGGGUCUAUUUUGCUGGCUUCUCAGAUAGUCAGCUCCCCUUAAAUGCAUUAGCCGGUGCCCCGCGUGGACUGUCUAUUGGUGUGAUAAUUAUCUACGCUAUAGACAUCUGCAAUCAUAUGGGUUUGCGCUGCUUCUAACAGUCUGUUGAUUCAGACAAAACAUGACAAUUUGACCUCAAAUCAGGUAGGACUACCCGCUGAACUUAAGCAUAUCAAUAAGCGGAGGA